UGUGGACCAUCCAUAGAGUUCAGAUGCUUGUGCGGCUGCGAGCAACCCGAGAAGACUUUCAGUUCUACGUUCUUGAUCAUAGAGUUUGACUACCCAUACUCAGGUAUUGGGUUUGGAACCCUAGAAGUGGUAUAUUAGAUCUAUUACUAAAUGCUGUCUUUUGAUUCACAUGCUUGUCAUUUUACUUUCAGAUUUUUAUACAUAUAAAUUUAUGUCAUCUAUCCA
rnacentral:lncRNA from 1 species